ACGGAAGGCAGCAGUAGGGAAUAUUGCACAAUGGGGGAAACCCUGAUGCAGCAACGCCACGUGUGGGAAGAAGCAUUUCGGUGUGUAAACCGCUGUCGUGAGGGAAUAAUGCUUGGUUUCGGCCAAGUUGUAUGUACCUCGAAAGGAAGCACCGGCAAACUUCGUGCCAGCAGCCGCGGUAAUACGAGGGGUGCAAGCGUUGUUCGGAAUCACUGGGCGUAAAGGGAGCGCAGGCGGAGAUGCAAGCAGUCUGUACAAUACCGGGGCCCAACCCCGGACCUGCAGACUGGACUGUUUCUCUUGGAUAGUUCAGGGGCAAGCGGAAUUCCUGGUGUAGCGGUGGAAUGCGUAGAGAUCAGGAAGAACACCGAUGGCGAAGGCAGCUUGCUGGGGACUUAUCGACGCUCAUGCUCGAAAGUGCGGGUAGCAAACAGGAUUAGAUACCCUGGUA
rnacentral:rRNA from 1 species